rnacentral:lncRNA from 1 species
AGCUAUGUGGCUAACGCUCCCCUGCCGCCAGGGAUAAAAAAAACCUCAAUUACCUAAGAGACCGGUUCAAAAGUUUGCUCGGUUGUUCUGGCAUAACAGACUUGCCGCUCGGUGCCUGUUUGCCUGACAGGAGAAAAAUUGAUCUGCUGACGUGACGUCAGCACGGUGGCUUGUGCCGUGACACUUGGGCAGGCGCUCUGGGAACUGCAGUCCUCGUGGGCUCCCACCAGGGUCUGAAAUCCACCAAGUGUUUGAGGAAACCAUGAAAAUAAUGCCUGCCGUUUCAUUUACGCAGGGGCAUAGACCGGAAACCUCUUCUGGCCUUGGACAGCGCUGUGGUAGAGUUUGCUUUGUGCCAGUCUGUAGCUCAUCACCGGGUCCUGGAUGAAAGGUUUAUGACACCCCAACAUCAUCCCCAUUCUGCUUCAUUAUGUAACGAUUAACUUCUAAGGACUCCGUUUACUUUGUGACCUUUGGCGUCUGAUACUUCUCGUAUGCCAAACAUUUGAGGGCACAUGAGGAAUACUUUUAACCAAUAUUAUGGUUUUGUUAAUGUAUUGCAAACUAUUUCUACAAGAGCAGCAUCAAAGUUUUAUCUGCUAAAUAAAUAUUACAGGGCUAAGCUAGUACACAGAGUAGAUCUGGAGGAAUUUCCGCGCUGGAGCAGACCCAAAGUCCAUCUAGAGAACAGCUCUGUACAAUUGGCAUACGGUGAUGAGUGAAACUGGAGCUUCAGCAAGUUUGUCCGAGACGGAGAACCAGUCUCAAUGUCUUCCUGAAAAGGACUGCUUUUGCUCAGCUCCCUUUGCUGCAGCGCCACCUCCCUUGUUCUGAUCCGAUAAAAGUCUUCUGUCUGUACCAUAAAAACCUGGAAUCCUGCGGAAAUGCUGAACGCAAAGCACUUAAAACUGCGCACGUGUACCCAAGUCGGAGGAGUAGAACAUGGUUACUAACAGCCAGCCACGCUACAGUCAUUGAAAGGGGAAUGCAGAUCCUGGCAGGUUCAGUGGGCAUCCAGAGCAGCCGACAGCACUGCCGGGAUGAGCGGGCGGCAGGAGCAGCGAGGAAGAUGUUGCAUGCUCAGCAGGGCGAUGAAGUUGUUUUGCAACACAGGCGUGUUCCAGGUGACUGCUGGGUCACUUUGGUCGGUGGGGUUGGAAGAGAGCCGUUGUCUGCUUCCUCGAUGAUCUACCAGCUCUUAUGUUUGGUGCACCUACCCUCUGAAGACGAUCCAAGAGUCAUCUUGUGCAGUGUCACCCUGGUGAGUUUUAUUUACAACCAAUUAAGUGUUUUACUAACCUGUAAAGCUUUAUUACUUUUAUUUACAUUUUUUCCUUGCUUUUGGUGAGGACACGGGCAUAUGGGAAACAUAUUCAUUUUCCAGCUUUACAAUCAGUUUUAGAGAUCUC